UCAUAAUAUUGUAUUUAAAUUGUAAAAUGACCACUAGGAAACAGUUAUACAAGAUUUCUGUAUUUUCUAGAAAUAACACAACGAUCCACAGGAUGUUGAUAGCAGCCACACAAUAGCGGCCAACAACAUUGAAAUAUUACAACUAUUUAUAAGGUCACUUGCAACAAGUGUUUUUUAGACAACACAACUAUGGUGGUUGUGGCCUUUGGUUCUAAUACAACCAACAAAACUCAUCUA